rnacentral:rRNA from 1 species
CUACGGGAGGCACCAGUGGGGAAUAUUGCACAAUGGAGGAAACUCUGAUGCAGCAACGCCGCGUGGAGGAUGACACUUUUCGGAGCGUAAACUCCUUUUAUAUAGGAAGAAGAUGACGGUACUAUAUGAAUAAGCGCCGGCUAACUCCGUGCCAGCAGCCGCGGUAAUACGGAGGGCGCAAGCGUUACUCGGAACCACUGGGCGUAAAGAGCGUGUAGGCGGAUUAAAAAGUCAGAAGUGAAAUCCUAUAGCUUAACUAUAGAACUGCUUCUGAAACUCUUAAUCUAGAAUAUGGGAGAGGUAGAUGGAAUUUCUGGUGUGGGGGUAAAAUCCGUAGAGAUCAGAAGGAAUACCGAUUGCGAAGGCGAUCUACUAGAACAUUAUUGACGCUGAGACGCGAGAGCGUGGGGAGCAAACAUGAUUAGAUACCCCCGUAGUC